rnacentral:rRNA from 1 species
CAGCAGCCGCGGUAAUACGGAGGGAGCUAGCGUUGUUCGGAAUUACUGGGCGUAAAGCGCGCGUAGGCGGUUACUCAAGUCAGAGGUGAAAGCCCGGGGCUCAACCCCGGAACUGCCUUUGAAACUAGGUGACUAGAAUCUUGGAGAGGUCAGUGGAAUUCCGAGUGUAGAGGUGAAAUUCGUAGAUAUUCGGAAGAACACCAGUGGCGAAGGCGACUGACUGGACUGAUACUGACACUGAGGUGCGAAAGCGUGGGGAGCAAACAGGAUUAGAUACCCCUGUAGUCCCUGUCUCUUAUAC